rnacentral:lncRNA from 1 species
GAGGGAUGUUUUCUUCUUGCUGUUCCAGGGAAUGUGCUGAGUUAACACCUUUUUUCUUUUUAUUGGAGCCGCUGUGGCAGGGAAGACAGUGGUGAGGGGCUUCCUUUGAGUAAAAAGCAGGUAAAUUCAGCCCCUGCUUGCUCCACUGUCUGCCCCUCCAGGGCCUCUGUGUCCUGAUGCAGAGUCCAGCCUGUUCUCACCAGGCUCGCAUUCCUUAUGCCAAGAGACCCACCAAAAAAGAAAGUCCCAAGAAACAGGAAGGAACACCACCAGCAAGAGACCUCACACUCACAGACCUCAGAGAUAUUCAUGGCCUGAGGGGCACAAAGGAGAGUGUGUUGGGAGCGGAUCCCCACUUAGAAAGAAGCAAGACAGUGCCCCAAGGCCUGGAAGAUGUCAGCUGCUUCCUCUGUGCUGUGCUGUGGGGAAGGCCAUCACCGUUUUAACGCCUCUUGAGUCUCCCCCUUCAGCACCACCUGACAAUCCUCAGCCCUGGACAAUGUGAGAUUUUUUUGACCGAGGAUCACUGUGCUCCUUCAGGAUCCACCAGAAAGUGCUGGUUAGCCUGAUAGGCCCUGGUUUGACUUACAUCUAGCAAGACCUUCAUCUGGUUUGCAGGAGUAGAUAGGGGGUCACUUGGAUGACAGGGACUCCAGUCCAGACCCCAUUCUCCCUCAUUCCCUCCUGCAAAGUUCAAUCCUCACAGUCCUCUGAGGCUGUGGCAAGUGCAGAAACAGAACUGCGCCUAUCCAAAGUGCCUCCCUUCCCCUGGACUCAUGCCAAGGCUUCCUCCCUCUGACCUGUCCCUUGUCUUUGCAUCUAGGGUGGAUGCUUGCCACUGACCCUCUCUCCCCAGGUUUCCCUGCUAGACUGACUUUCUGCCCCUGGGAUUGGGUGGGGCAGCCAAUGGAACCUCAUGCAGACCAGGGUGAAAUCAAAGGGCCUUGGAAACUCACAGCCCCACAUCCAGGCCCCAGUCCUUUCAGAGUCUCAGAUCCAAGUCCCCAGUUUAUCAGGGAUGUGGCUCUGUGAAAGCCAGAGAACCCGGUCCCCAGGGCUGCUGCCAUCUCUCUCCUCCUCAUUUACUCUGGCCCCCAUCAGCUCCUCUGGGCCACUCCCUUUCUGGAGUCCCCCUGGCUCCAUCCGGCGGCAGUGAGUUCGCAGAUCUCCUGGACCCCAGGCUGCUACAGGCACCUCCCUCAACAUCCACUGUCUGCUCUCAGAGUGACCUUCUCCUCAUAUCUUUAUUGGAGGAAAAAAGAGGGGAAGCCCCUGGUCUUGGGGAAGAUAGUUAUAAAUGCAAUCUGGAAUAAAACCCCCUUGAGGACUAGAGGAGGCCAGCAGGGCCUGACCAGAGAUUUUUGACUGUUAGAAAUGCACAGAGGGCAAACACCACAGGAAAAGCGCUGACUCAGAAACAGACUCACUGCAUUCCAGGUGCAGCCUCCUCAGCUCUAAGGCUGGGCCAGCAGAGCCUGGGAAGGGAUGGCCCCCACACUGGGACCAUCCCAGGCUCUGCCAACAGCCUGGCACUUCUAGGAGAACCAGAGGAGUCGGCUCUUCCUGUGCAAGGUAGACAAGGUUCCCCUCCAUUGGUCCCGGUUGCCUCUUUAGGUCCAGAGCAGCAGCUGAGGAGCUCCCUGCUUUAUGCCUUGCUGUGGGCACUGAAAUAGCUCAGUAGAAUUUGGGGAGAAUGUAUGAGUCACUGCUGAUUCCAGGGAGAGUGUUUCUUAGCAUUGUUUGUGGCCAUACUCCUGGGUGCAGGAGAGAUUGGCUGACAUUUCCAGGAAGCAGAGGACUCAGCUUCUCUGACAGCUCAGGCUGGGGGAGGAAAAUUCAAGUUCAGAAAUACUUUAGAACCCCGAUGAAAAGCCUGGAGAAGCUUUGGAAUCCCAGUAGAAAUUCAGUGAGUGGAACUGAGGUUAAGCCAUCCCUUCAGAUGGACUCAAAAGGCUGCACUGACCUGGACAGCAGAGGAGCACCUUCAGAAGCACAGGCAACCAGAACAUGGUAGAAAGACCCCCCAAACUGCAGGAUUCUCGCUGGGGUCCUGAGGAUGGUGCAGGAUUUCCCCAAGGGGUUCAUUUCUCUCACAAAUUCUGCAGAUACACAGCUUCCACCAUUCAUGCUUCCAGAUCGAAAAGUCUCCCUCUUUAUGUCUGACCACACUGCUCCUCUCUGGGCUCUGCCCCAGCUCACACACUCAGAUUCACUCUUCCCAAGCUGGUAUUCUGAGGGAAGCCCAACACGUUUGUGAGUAAUGAUGCCUCACCUUCAAGUAGGAGCCAAGACUGUGUCUGCUCUCUCUGCCCUCAAAGACACUGUGAUGCUUUAAGGAUCUGCAUUAUCUCUUUUGUAAUUAUGUUUUUUUAAAAUUUUUAAACUCAAUCUAGAAGGAAGUCUUUCAAUCCUUUUGUCUAAAUGCCCACAAAAUACCUGCCAUGUUUUAUGUUGUCUAGCUUCCCUCCCAGGGUCCCAUGAAAACACUCAGUCCUGUCCAGCCCAGCCCCCACAUCACUUUGUAAUUUAGGCCUGAUUUCUUUCAGUGAAUCCUUGACCUUAACCUUGAGAUAAAUUACACCCUCAGUAGUUCCUGUUUUCCACCUGAAUGGGCAUAUGAUCUACCAUGUUAGGUAGCACAAAACCCAGGUGACAAGUGGAUACACCAAGAUUUUUAUUGUGUUUUUCAGGGAUGACAUCACUGUCUUCUUAAAGUUGUUUUAACUCUAAAACAUUUUGAUGCUUUUGAUGUGGCCAAAGGUUCUCUAAUAAAGAUACCACAUAUAUAUAUAUUUUUUUUUCUAAUGUCAGAAACAGCUUAAAUCCUUCCCUGUAUCACUAUGAAAGUCACAUAUUAGUCAAACUUUACCAGUGUUUAUGGAAUAAGUGAAUAAAUGAGUUUUAGACCUUCACCCUAUUAUUAAUUCUUUCACUUUUAUGAAUCUAUAUCUAAUUUAAUCACUUAAUAAGAAGAAAGUUGAAAACUCAAUCAGGGUUAACUGGAUGGAAGUUCAGGAUCUAGUUGGAUGUCAUUUUUGGAUUGGAAGUUGGUAAUUGAGAAGGGGGUCGUGGUGAGAAAGGUCAAUAAAAGCUCCUGAAGAUGCACAGAAGAGACCCAAAGCCCUGGCUCCUGGAGCUACUGCUUGAUUCUGGCAGAGGUCCCAGCACCCUGCAACGUGAGUCCAGAUCUGGCAAGUCACCACUUAUUAGGAUUGGGAAUGUGCCCAUUUGAUCUGAUCUUCUGUAUAGCACGUCAUACAAAAAAGUCUGGAAGACGCUAGCACAUACACUGUGAAGGGAAGUCACAGAUAAGGGGAAGAUUAUAGAAGACAUUUGCUCUGUGUUUUUGGAAUGUUUUGCAUUGAGAAUUCUGUCCAGAGAAGGGAAAAAGGAUGAAAAUCAAAUGAAGCUCACCCCCAUGUACCUCUAUGUACCUCUUACCAUGCUGGACUUUCUUUUGUUUUGUUUUCUUUUCUCUUUUUUUUUUUUCUGAUAUGGCAUCUAGCUCUGUUGCCCAGGCUGGAGUGCAGUGGCACGAUCUUCAAUCACUGCAACCUCCACAUCCUGGGUUCAAGCAAUUCUCCUCCCUCAGCCUCUCCAGUAGCUGGGACUACAGGUACAUGCCACCAUGCCUGGUUAAUUUUUUUUAUUAUACUUUAAGUUUUAGGGUACAUGUGUACAAUGUGCAGGUUACUUACAUAUGAAUACAUGUGCCAUGUUGGUGUGCUGCACCCAGUAACUCGCCAUUUAACAUUAGGUAUAUCUCCAAAUGAUAUCCCUCCCCCCUCCCCCC